UACGUAGGGUGCAAGCGUUAAUCGGAAUUACUGGGCGUAAAGCGUGCGCAGGCGGUGAUGUAAGACAGGUGUGAAAUCCCCGGGCUUAACCUGGGAACUGCGUUUCUAACUGGCAGGCUUGAGUGUGGCAGAGGGGGGUGGAAUUCCGACGUGUAGCAGUGAAAUGCGUAGAGAUGUGGAGGAACACCGAUGGCGAAGGCAGCCCCCUGGGCUAACACUGACGCUCAUGCACGAAAGCGUGGGGAGCAAACAGG
rnacentral:rRNA from 1 species